CUACACGACUCUCGGCAACGGAUAUCUCGGCUCUCGCAUCGAUGAAGAACGUAGCGAAAUGCGAUACCUGGUGUGAAUUGCAGAAUCCCGCGAACCAUCGAGUCUUUGAACGCAAGUUGCGCCCAAGGCCACCCGGCCGAGGGCACGCCUGCCUGGGCGUCACG
rnacentral:rRNA from 1 species